rnacentral:lncRNA from 1 species
AAGAAGAAGGUGGUGGGCUGUCACAGGCAAAGCUUUUGGACUUCCAAAAGUACCCUCCCCCUCCAACACGUAGACAAAUGCAUUCCACGAUGUUGGUAUUGGUUGUUGCAAGUGAGCCCCUGGUUUCAGGGUGAAGUCCAAGUACAAGGUUGGGGUCCUUGUGUAAAUUGGUGACUUUGUUCCCAAGGCUUCUCCAGCUAUUACCCUAACUGUGAUCCCAUCUUUUGAAGCCUCUGAAAUGUCUUUGCUCAGCAUUUCUUGGUACUUUGGCUCAAUCCUGUGUUAAUUUACACAAAUUAUUUCUCGAUUAAACAAUAAGUAAUGUUAUUUAGACUUCAUUUAUUGACCACCAUAAAAAUCAUUGUGACAUAAAACUAACCAUAAUAAAACUCUCAACUCUUAUUAUCUGUCAAAGCUUAUUCAAUAUUCCUAAGUACCGUGGACUAUGAGUAAAAAAGGCCCAUAGUUUCAGUGUCUAUAAAGCAUUUAUAGAAAAGGAUAAUCCUAUGAUGACCAAUCAUAGGAAUAUUGCACAUGCUUAUUUAAAUAGUUGAACCGCAUGACUAUCAAUCUCCUUGAGAAUAUCCUAUAUCUAUGUGUAUAAUGUUCUCUUACGAGAUUUAUAUUAUCAAACUAUGUUUAUGUUGCAUUUGAACUCAUUUUUACGUAAAUUCACUUAAAAAAUUAUUUAUAAGUUCAGUGUGUAACAUAAUCAUCAUCUUAUGUUGCGAGACUGUAUACUAUGAAAUUAGCAUGAUGCUUAAAAUGCAUGACGCUAAGAUGACAUCAAGUAUAUGUCACGCAGCCAACCCAUUUACAAUUUUGAAUGCAUGGUCAAUCUGUCUAAAUGAAUUAAUAAUUAAGGUAGGGAUACAUACAUUUUAUGCGAGGAGGAGAGGUUUAUCCAUAAUUGUAAACCCUUUUGGGUUCCCUGGGCGGCAGGCAUUUCUGAGUGAAGGAUACCUCUUCCUGCGGUCAUCCAUUGCAAGUCACCGGCUCCUAUUGUCCCUUUGUGCCCUUCAAAAUCUUCAUGUGUCACAGCUCCCUAAUCACCCCAAAACACAUGCAAUGGCGGUCAACUAAGGUAAUUAAUUAAGUUCACUCGUGAAUUAUCAAAACAACAACUAGUUAUUUCACUGAUUAAAUUUAUUCAGAUGAAAGAGACUUUUUUAAUUACCAAAUAAAGUUAGUUCUGGGAUAAAUUAUAAGAAAUGGGUUAACUAGAAAUGUAAAUGAUACCGCUCUCCAGCAAAUAAAAAAUGAUUAUAAAUGGUUUCUAUACCUGCAACAUGUAGGUCACUGUCUCAAAUCCUCUGUGUGGAUGAUCCGGAAAACCCGCAGGAGCAGUAACUGCAAUUGCAACAGCAAUAUUAGAAAUUAAUAACAACUUUCUUUCACAGAACGAUAUUGGGGAUGGCUAGGCAAAGCCUAAGUAUCAAACUCGUCAUUCAUAAUAAACGAACUUGAGACAUCCUACUUACCAGUGGAAAUGAAUUCCUGCAUUCAAUAAAGAAACAUAGUAAACGAAGAGAACCCACCUGAGAACUCAUCCAAAACAAGGAAAGGAUCAAAGUAUUUCAGCUCAAACCUGCAAAAAAACACAACCACCCAUUGACUCAGCCAUCUCAAAUAUCUCAGCAUUCCAUUCAUGUUAGUUAAAAAACAGGCAGAAAUGUUGAAUCUGGCUUUACAACUCAGUGAUCAAUAUAUUACGUACCUCCCUAUGCUCCUUCUAACAAUGGCUCCAACUCCUUCAUGCUGAGGCCUAGCCAAGAAGUUCCUCACCACAAGACGAGGUUUUUUCAGGACACUUGAAAAAUCUUUCUCAGGCAUAUUUUAUCAGUCUUUAGAAGGUCGGCUUGAAAUUUGAAAGCUUCUCUGCCAAAUAAUGUGAGAAAAAUGAAGAUAUUUGCAGCUAUAUAUAGUAAUAUGAGAGAGAGAGAGAGAGAGAGAGAGAGAGAGAGAAGAGUUGGUGUAAUUUUUGAAGGUCAAAGUGAAUUUUUAUUGGCUGCCAAUAAGACCACGACUUUGCUUGAGCUCCAGGGACUAUAUGAUACACCUCUAUAUAUGUAUGACGUCUGCAGGACGUUGUGGUGAUGUUGUGGGGGUAGUAUUGAGGUUUUGGGAACCUUAAUGGCUGUUUCACAUGAGUGCCACGCCUCAUGAUAUGGUCAAACGUCAAUGCCACUAUUUUAGGGUUUGAGGGAAAAGGAAAGAAAAGGCUAAUGGCUUAUGGGAUCCCUGAGUCAUGCUUAUGCAUGCGUUGGAUUUGUUAUGGGGGACACGCAAUUUCUGGGAACAAAUCUUUGAUGUUGGUUCACAGAAAAACCAUGGCCAGAUAUUUUGUCUUUCCUUUAAGGAACCUUCCUACGAGACGAUUCUGUUCCAUUCAUUGAACUUGAGGCUAUAUUAUUUGCUUUAUGAAUUAUGAUCAUAAAAUUGCAUGGAUAUGAUUAGGAUUCGGAGACACACAUUUUGACAUAUACUUUUAUGGCUACCAUCAGUUAACGUUUUUUUUAAUGAUCCAAACCAUCUAUAUUUCAAUUUAUCAUUAAUAGAUUAUCUUUUCAAAAAAAAAAAAAAUUGGACAAAUUCAAAACCGUGAAGACAUCCUUUUGUAGAAGAAACUUGACAAAUACAAUUCUACGAGGAAACACUAAAAUUAAUCCAACGGUCACAUAGUUUUGGAUUUGAGUGAUUUUUGAAAGACAUGAUAUUUGAGGGAUAACAUAAAAGAUAGAUGGUGUUCGAAUUGUCGAAAUACAUUAUGGAGUGGGCACACAAAAAUGUAUGUGUCAAAAAUAUGCAUCUCUAGAUCCAAACCCCAUAUAUAGAGAAUGAAAUGGACGAAUACAGUUCUACAAAUAAACAUCGAAAUUUUUGGUAGACUUGAUCUUUAAGGUAAGAGAUAAAAGAUCGAUGACUGGAUCGUUGAAUUACAUUACGAUUUUGGGCCCAACAAAAACAUUUGUUAAAAUGUGUACAAAAAAUGUAUGUCUUUAUAUAUAUAUAUAUAUAUAUAUAUAUAUAUAUAUAUAUAUAUAUAUAUUAUAGGUCAAGAUCAGGGACACAUAUUUUACGCUGGUUCCUUUGGUAACUUUUUUUCAAGGAUCCGAGUGUCUAUAUUUCAAUUCAUCAUUAUCAUUCUUGUCAAAAAUUAAAAAAAUCUAAAAUAAUUAAGACAUUUCAUUUGUAAUGAAGAAACGAAUGAAUAUAGUUCUACAAAGAAACACUAAAAUGACUAACAUCGGUCAUAUGAUUUUAAAUUCGGGUUAGCUUUAGUACAUGAUCAUUGAAGAAUGAUUUAAAAGAUAGACAAUUAGAUCAUUCAAACACAUAUGGAGUGGACCCUAAAAAUGUGUCUCUCGAUUCUGACCUUAUAUGUGUGUGUAUAACACAUAUUUCAUAUUCAAUGUUAUACAAAAACAUCUGAUGAAAUAAACUGAAUUAUGAUAUGAGACAAGAAAAUUGAACAAGCUAGGGCCAUAUAGUCCAUAAACCUUUUUGGAGUUGUUUCUGGAGGGUUAAAACGCAUCUCACUGUAAAAUUGUUUUUGACAGCGUUUAGAAAAAAUCUUAAAAGCACUACGAAGAAACACACUAGUUUUUUUUUUUUUUUUUUUGGAGAACAGAAACACACUAGUUAGGUACUUCUUUAUAAAACACUUCUAGUUCUGUUUCAAAAAGUGAUUGACUUAUCAAUCAAAUUUGAAAGCUAGUGUGCUGUAAAUGGUAUUAUCAAUUAGAAAUGCGAUUAUAUAAAUUUAAAGUAGAAUCCCAAUAAGCAUUGUAUUACUUGUUAGCAAGAAAGCCCAUUAUGAUUAAUAUAAAUAAAGAUACAAGACCAUGGAUGAACAUACAAUUCUCAUACACAUGAGCAUUCUCUCUCUCUCUCUCUCACACACACACACACUCUUUUAUAGGUUUAGUUUACAACAAUGUGCCCUUAGUAAAACUGUUUUCAACAAAAAUAGUCUCCAGUGGGCCUAGCUUAACGCAAUGCUUAAUAAUAAUAAUAAUAAAAUAAUCAAAAUACAUACUCAUUUAAAGCGGUCCUUAUAUGGGAUAAAAAUUUACAUGGCACGGAUACACCAUUAUAAUGACGUUCCAUGCCAAUAAAAUAAUUACAUGUGUUAGUUUUCGUAACGAUUGAGUUCAUCACCCAUAUUUUUCCCUUAACUUUUCUAAUUUUAGUUGCCAUAUUAGACAAGAACAUGACGUUGAAAAGAAAGUCAUGUCUUGCUAAAAGGAAGGUUGCAUAUACUUCUUUCCAACCAAUUUCGCAGAAAAAGUAAUGUUCUUUAGCAAAUGGAAACAUCCAAAAAGUGAAUUGUUUGCCAAGGUGCGAAAAUAGUUCGAGAUUUGAAAACUAUUUUAUAGAAAAAUGGUUAGGUGAAAUGUGACAACUAUAUCAUAAAAAAUAUUUCAUUUUCUAUCUUCACUUCACAAUACACUGAUAAAUAAAAAUGUACAGAAAUCAAACUCAAGCUUAAAUAAUGUGACCAAAAUUGAUUUUGCUUAGAAUUUAGGUACUAACAUUUCAUUUCUUAUUUUAUUUUGCAUUAAAAAAAAUACCUAAUCCUGAGAUCUUUCUAUUUACUGUUCAAGUACCUAAUCAUAUAUGGUGGACUGCAUUUAUCAUGUGAAUAAAUCAGUACCACAAAUCUUGAUUAAGACCAACUUUCAAGUCACUAAUGAGAAAAAUAACUAGAAAACCUCUGUUUACUGACAUCAUUCAUACAAAAGCAUUACGCGAUAGCAACCUUUGAAUAAUUCGGAGAAAGAUAGAAUAAACUGAGUCAAAGAAAGUGAGGGAACAAUGAAAUUUUUCCCUUUUCUUCUCUUUUCUUCUCAUAUAUAUGACACUUAGGAUCUUUUCCGGUGCAGCCUCUGAUAAGUUUAUUUCACUCCUCCAACAAUGCCAACUUAAAUCAAUAUCAUUGACAUGUUGGAUUUAUUCAAAUACAAUCAACCUUUAAAUGAUCUACAACAUAUAAUAGAAAUGUAAUAUUGGAGAUUACUAUAGAUAUUGUGAUUUGAUAUCCUAUGUGUCAAUCUUAUAUUAGGAGUCUUAGAAUACAAUUAAGAUUGAUAGAGUCCUAUGAUACCUAACGGAUAGACUUAAAAAAUUGAGAUUUGAGAUUCCUUCAUGGACGGAACCCUAAUGCCUAUAAAUACUCUGCAAGCACAACAGAAUGCUUCCCAUAACUUGGUUGUAUCCGGCUAUGUGUUUGUAGAAGACUUUGGUGUUACCGCACCAUUCAUUCUUUCAUGUUGGACUUCCAUAGCUGCUGUUGGAAUCAUAUCAGCCCACUCCUUUGUGUUUUAAUGCCAACUCCUUCUUUGUGUUUUAAUUAUACGGCCAUAUAAGGCUAACAAUUUGUAUCAAAGCCACUAGUUAUAUGAUGAAAUCCUAUAAUAAUGCGGAGAAGCAUAUAUACAAAUCGUGGCAUCAUAUAAAUAUUUUAUUGUGGGAUCCAAACAUGGAGUAAGCUUCUAAUCCCAGCAGUUUUCCAAACUAUACCUAUUAUAACUGCAUAUAUAUGGUUCUGUUGAUAGCAUUUUCAUGCAGGCAUUUUUAUUGCAUAUAAUAUGGUUUGGUUGAACCACCAAAGUCUGGAGGUUGCUAGUAUUUUGAUCAGUACAUGUAAUUUUUUUCAAAAGCCAAUUUGAUUAGUCAAAUUUGAUUGCCACCAACAGUUUUGAUAAAGGGAUGAUAAAGAAAAUUUGAUUACUCAGUUCAUUGGAUUAAUUACGACUGAAAACUGUGGCAUAUUUCAGAUUUUCUAUUUCAAUUUUCAUGCUAAUAUUUUUGGUUGGAAUGUUUUACCAUUUACGACUAGAAAAAUGAUGCGGCCUUCCCACUUAGCAAGCCAUCAUUUGCCAAAGCAGAUCGUUGUGUUUCAUCACUUCAAUUUGGAUUAUGAGUUUAUGGUAUAAUUUUUUCCUUUUGGUCUUGAUUAUUGACAAAAUUUUGUGAUGACUUCGUAAGGCAAUUAAUUGCUUCUUGCAGAAGUCACCUAUGCCGUGUCAUCUCCUUAUUAUCUGGAAUAGUUUGUUGUUUGGCUCCUUGUUUCAAUGGCAUUGAAAGUUUUCGAACUGGUAUAAUCAACUGAAUAUUCAAAACUCAAUUUGACUGUAACCUAAAUAUUGGAAUUAAGAAAGAGGCAUAACAAUUCAAAUAUUGCUUGACAUAUUUCUGACUACAGGAGACGAAAUUGGUUCUUUUUAGAUUGUCCCACUACUAUUGUUGGUAUAUUGUGCCUAUAUAUAUAUAUAUAUGAUUGGGGUAAGAUAUAUUAAAGUUCCAUUGCAGGAAUGCAUACACUAACUUUUAUAUGUAUCUAUAUAUGAAAGUAAUUCAAUAUAAAUUUCGACCACAUUUGUUGGCGUGUAUAGCAUUACAGGUAUGGGUAUUUCGUUUCAAGAAUGUGUAAGAAAGCAUAUAGUGGCAGGUUUGCAAUAAUUAUGUGACAAUUCUUAUUUGUAUUUUAUCUAUUCUUAUUUGAGAAUUAUGGUUGGUCAUAUAAUUAUAUAUAUGUUUAUAAAGAAGUGGUGAACAUAUGAAGCACAUGAGGUAUGGAAUUCAUUCAAAGCAUGUGACUUAAUUGAUAAGAAUGAGUUUUCAAACUUGUAUUGUGGUUUUUUAGGUUUUCCUAUGCCUAAAGAAAUUAAAAUGCUUUAAUUAGUCAACUCUUAUGUGCCGGGAAGGAGUAAUCAUUCAAGGCUAAUAUAUGGCAUAUAUUGGAAAUGUUUCCUUUGGAAGAAAAUAAUUUUGAUUGUUCUUUUAUUUACAAAACUAAUGUAUGAUUUUUAAUGCUAAUGUUUACUAGUCUUGUAGUAUGGAAAGAAAGGUACAAAAGGAACCCGUUUGACUUAAAAAAAGCAUUUAGGUGAUAUCACAAAUUGACUUUUGAAUUAAAGCAAUUGUAUUAUUUUUUUCACAACAUAAAGUAUUUCUAUUUUUAAGCAAUUAGCUCCAUAAUGAUCUCUCAUAAGUAUUGACAUCUUUAUGGUGAAAGUGUGAUAUUAUAGUUCUUAUACAACUUGUUCUAUAUGUGAUUAAUCUCUUUAUGCGGUUAGGUUUCUAGAGAUUAAUUGAAUAUCAAAGGGAGUCAUGAAGGAGACUAUUAAAUUAAUGUCAUUUGUUGACAAGACUCAAAGCUUGAAUCAGAUUAUCAUAAUUUAGUCACUUACAACUAAUUAAUCCAUGUGACUUUUGUAUUGUUUUAAUUAGGCUGGAGUUGAUCAAUGUCUUGUAUUAACUAAGCAAGUCACAACCGCUUAGUUGAUGCGGGGACUGUGUUUUAAUUUACUUCAAGCAACAUUGUACCUUAAUUAGGAUAGAAGGGAUAAUUUUCUUGCUCACAUGUGCAUAUUGUUUGUUUUAGCUUAAUUACGAUGGCAUAAUAUGAGUUCUAGCUUAUAGGAAUUAUGUAAGCUUCAUCUGCCUACAUGUGUUGACGUUUUCCAUGAAUGUACUCUUGUGACAUGUAAUCUAGUACUAUUAACUUAUUAAUUUUCUUAGCACAUGUGUAAAUUAAUCUAGUUUCAUGAAGUUUAUUGGGGAUUAGGUACCAUGUCUUCAGUUACAAGUAUUUCUCCCUAUAAUAGUUUGUGGUUUUGAGGCAUGGAAAUCGGUUGCAUCAUGAUGUAUUUUUGUGUCUCUUCAUGAGAUUUGUUGAUGUAAAAUAUUGGACCCAUGAAGAUUAAUCAAGGAUUACUCAGGUGCACAUUGUUUGAGUAUUAUGCUUGUAAGUUUUUCAAUUUGAAUUAUGAUAUCGAUUUAGAGGAUGAAAUUGGACUUCUUAAGCUUCUUGUAGACCUCGAAAUUGAAAUGAUAUGAAAUUAAAUUUGGUAUAAAUAUACAGAUUCAUGAUAGAUGCACAUAAAUUUUCUCGUAGAUUGUGUGUCUUGAUUUAAGUUGGAUGAAUAACUCGUCUAAUGGUCACCAAAUGAAAUGAAGUUUUGAUAUGUUCAACAUAUUAUGUCUACUAAUGUUCCACAAUUUUCUUAAUUGUUUGCCAUGAAUUGUAAUUAUGGUGAAUUUACUGGUAACCCAUACUCUUUAUGCUGACAAACUGUGUUGGUGUUUUGAGACAUCACUUUAGACUAUCAUUUGGACCUAAAACGUCUCCAUAUUUUUAUCUAAAACUACAUUAAUGAAACCCUCUUUGUCAACCAAAAGAGGGUGAAAAAACAUCUUUGUUUUCUAUCACAACAAAAAAGUUAAGGACAUUAACGUAAUUUUAUAAAACAAAAUUUUGCUCUUUUUUCUUAAACCUCACUUACAUGUAAGUUUAUCAUCUCUAAUUAAAAAAAAAAAAACAACUUCUCUUCCUCUCUUCCUCUCUCUUCAAUUUUAACAACCAAAGUGAAAAAUUUCACACUUUUUGUGUUGGCAUAUACUAGUAUUAUAUGAAGAUAAGUAUAUCUAGUUUGAUCUGUAUAAUUUUAGUAAAAAUCAAAGUUAUGAAUUAAUUAUGGUAAAUUCCAAAGUAAGUGUAACUUAUUACUAAAAUUCUGUUUGACAACUCUUUAUGUUGGUUUGGUAUCUACUCUACUAUGUCUAAAAUAUGAAGCAAUUUUAUUUGGUACAUUCUCUGAAAGAAUAUAUUAAUGAGUGUUUGCUCAAGUGAGAGAAUUAGUGAAAGAAAAUCGGGCUUCACACUCAUUAACUUAUUUGUGUUGUAAAUAUUAUGUGGAUGGUCCACAUGAAUAGUUUGUUACUAUUUAUGCAAUGUAUUUUCACUAUUCAUUUGUGGAAAAUUUGUAAAGUGAAUAGUGCUUUCUUUUGUUUAUAUAAAGGAAGAAGAGGAGAUGAAGUGAUUAGAAGUUCACGGGUGAGAAAAAAAAAGGAAACAAGAGGAAGAGAGAAGAAAGAGGAAGAGAGAAAAGAGGGGAAGAAAAGAGGAGAGAAUAGAGAGAGUUAUCUUUGUGCUCCUAUUAUUCUAAAUUAUAAUGGAAGCACCACUGCUGCCCCGAUGACGUACUCCAGUCACACUGACUGUAGAGGAACCUCGUAAAUUUUGUGUCUUGCUUAUUUAUUCCACUGCACCCACAAUCAAUUUUACAACACGUUAUCAGCAUGAGAAGCUCUCAUGUCAGUGGAAAGCAUAACGCCAUAAAUUCGGAUAAACACUGAGUAAAGACGGCAAGCCAGACACGACAAACAAGGAAGAUCAUCUUGUCCCAAAAAUCCAUCAACCUUUCUUUUAUCACUUUUUCUUUUAUCACUCUAACUAUUGAUGUGCUAAUCCUUAUCCCUGCUAGACCUGCAAUCUAUUUUUCUCUCGUGGACAAGAAAGAUGGAGAGAUCUUACGGACAAACAAAGGUGCAGCAAAACAAGCAAAGGUCUAGCACCGCGCCAGAUCGUGUCGUUCUCAACGGAUCUUGAGGACCUCCAUGAAUCCUCAGUUGUCUGAGAUGGUGAUGGCAUGACUGACUCCACACAGGCCUCCCUCUCUUGUGCCUUCGUCAACCUCACUGUCAUCUAUGUCUCUAUGGAGAGGUUCUUGCUUUGCGAUGCCAUGUUCUUUGGGCCAUGCAAGAACAACGCCAGUCUCUGGUAGCCUUUUUGGAUUGAAUUGGUUUUGUGUAACCCCCACAACAACCCAGCUGGUACUGGGUUUCGAGACUGGUAGAGAUAGACAAAGAAAAGGGGAAAUGGGGCCAAUGAUUUGGAAAGGUGUGUUGCACCAUGUAAAAUGAAAGAAAAAGGCAAUGUUUUUUUGGAAUGGUGUAGAAUGUGAUUGAAUAAGAAAAUAAUAAAAAUAAAAUAAAGGUAAAGUUUUUUGGAUGGUGUUACACCAUCUGAAACGAAAGAAGAAAAUAUGUAUAUAUUUAUUUAUAUGAAUGGUGUUGGCUUAAAACACUUUCACAAGUUCUAUUUAUUUAAAGUAAUUUAUUUACAGUGGGUAGAAUUAUUACCCUUUUGCUUUAAAGCUUUGAUAUUUAUGUGAAUGGUGCUGAAUUAAAGCCCUUGUCACAAGCUUUAUUUACUUUACAACAAUUUAUUUAUCAUGGACGGUUUUACCGCCUACUGCUUUAAGUUUUGAUUUAUGUGAAUGGUGCUGAAUUAAAGCCCUUGUCACAAGCUUUAAUUUAUUUAUUGUUCAAUUUAUUUACUAUGGCUGGAAUUACCGACUAUUGCUUUAAUUUAUUUAUUGUACUUAUCUUUUGUUACGAUGAGUAUAACAAGGACCCAGAGUUCCUUGAUUAGAUCAGAACCUGCAGUUUCUUGAUCCUCAUCACAUAAAAUGAUAGGACCCGAAGUUCCAUCAUACAAAAAGAUCAGGCAUGAAGUCCUUUGAUCCUGAAGAUCAGGACAUGAAAUUCCUUGAUGAGUACCGUAAGUUUAAAGUGUCGCAGUGCCUCAACUUAACCAUAAUAAAGGACAUAAGAGUCUCGGUUCACAGACUAUUAAACAAGGACCAGAAGUUCCUUAUGUCCAUACUUAAAAUGGUUUAGCAGAAGCAUUUAUUAAGUGGAUGAAAUUGAUUACGAACGCUCUGCUCAUGAAAACGAAAUUGCCAGUUUUCUACAUGAGGACAUGUAAACUUUACAUGAUGCAUUAUUAAUUCGGUUGAGAUACUUCUCAGUAUAACUCGGGUUUGGGAACCAACCAAACAUUAUACAUUUACGAGUUUUUGGUUGUGUUAUCUAUGUGCCUAUUACACUGCCACAACGUAUUGAAAUGGGCAUUGAUGUUGAACAUCAUCUAUCAUUCAAUAUUUAGAACCCUUGACUGGGGAUAUAUUUACCGCUUGGUUUGCGGACUGUCAUUUUGAUAAGACAAUUUUCCUACCAUUAGGGGGAGAAAAUAAUAUCGUUCCAGAAGAACGAUGAGAAAAUAUCAUUCCAAAAGAAUGAUGAGAAAAGACCGUUCCAGAAGAACGAAGAGAAUUUGUCUUAUUUUGAUUCACGAAGCAAUCAAUGAGAAAAUGAAAUAUGAAUAAUUGAAUGAUGCAACGAAAGUGAUGAAAUCAUAUAUACUUACUGCAAAUGUGCCUAUAAGAAUUGAUGUCUCUGUUGGAUAAAAUAAUGAGACAGUAAAUGAUUUAUUUGUUGCACGCCUGAAGCGUGGCAGAUUUUUAGACUCAAAAGGUUCAGUUAUUCGAAAGAAGAAUAAUAUGGCACUACUGAACUAUUGCAUUCCCAAAGCAUAACUGUUGCAUGCCAGAAGCAUGACAGUCGCCGCAUGGAUACACGUCCCAGAUAGGACAAUCCACAGACAUGGGAAUGUUGAUGUCUCAUACAUGAAGUAUAAUAGACAUAUAGGUUCCAAUGACUCAACUCCCGGAAGUGGAGAUUAAGAUCCAAGCUCUAUAACGCUCAGGAAGAGGUUAUAAUCCGCAUUCUCUAAAUUACGACUAUCCUGGAAGAGAUAGCGUCAUGCCCUUGAAGAGGCAAUGGAUAUCCAAAGAAAUGAAAAGCUUUUAUGCAUGCGCAUGCACAUGAGAAUAUGGGAUCACGGAUUGAUGAUAACCAAUGGUAAUUUUGGUUUUUACAAGUAGCUACUAAAUUCAUCAAUGAGCUGUGUUAAUAUUGAGUCACGUUCUUUUGUUCGUCGACAAAAGAAAAAUUAUUGGCCAAAAUGGAGAAAGGCAAUUCCAUUACAAUUUUGUAAGAACGUGGGCAAAUGAACCUAUAUAUAUAUUUGAAUACAAUACAAAUAGCCAAAAUAUGUUGAACCAAGAAGGUUUCAUUGGGCAUUUGUAAUACAGUGAAAUACAUUCACAUGAUAUGACACAAGGUUGUAAACGAGUUCAUAUGAAUGGAGAAUUAUAUACGAAGGGUUGUGAGCCACCCACAUCAUAUCUCCAUAAGCAAAUCCCUUAAUUAUACAUGGGAGCAAGUUGCUCUGUAUAAAUUCCAAGGAAAAUGUGUCAUGAAGUGUAGAAAAUCCCUGAAUGAUUCAAAUUGCUUGAAGUAAGCCUCUGAAGGGUAAAACAUAAAAUACGUACUCAAUACCAAUGGAUGAUAUAAAUUGCCUUAGUGAGUACUAUCAUUAUGAUAUUGUUGCAACAUACUAAAAUCUCUUGCAAGAGUCAAUGACAUUAAAUUAUAACUCUUGAAGAGUUGAUGAUAUUAAAUUGGGACUCCUGAAGAGUCUAGAAAAAUUAUAAAGUGUUGAAGGAAUUAUUGUCUCGAGCUGCAUAUCGAACAAUCUACCAACACGAAUCUUAUCCAUGAUAUUUAUGAUAUUAAAAGAACCAUAUGGAUUGAAGAUUAUGAGUUGAAUACUCAUAUGAUGAAGACACUAAGAAUAAUCAUUUAUCUUCGUGAGGGUAAAGAUAAAUUAAUAUUUGGUCCAGAAGUACCACAUCUUAGUGAAGUAUAUGCUUUAUUGUAUUUGGCACAAUACAUUGAAUGAAAUAAAGUUUAUUUAUUAAUAUCUCCAAGAAAUUACAGAUAUAUACAUACACAUGAGUUAAAACAAACAAACAGGAUGGAGCCUUCACAAAGGUUGCUCAUGUGAAGCCUCAGUACUCGGAAGUACCCUAGAAGGGGGAGGCACUGGAGAUUGAUCAUGUGGCACCCCAGUACUUAGCAAAACACCAGAAGGGGAAGGCAUCAGUUGCUUUCGGAAUCUAGCAACGAACCUCUGGUGAUCACUUUGAAUCCGACUUUUGGAUUCCUGCAGUUGGACGAGCUUUCUUUUCAUGCUCGUAGAGUAAUUAUUUGCAAGCACGUGUAACACCCUAUUCUCGUGCUUGAGCCCUCUGAUCUCUUGUUUAAGACUUGCCACCUCCGCCAUCAAUGAUUCAACUUGGCGAGUUUGAGCAAGUAGGCGUUGGCCCAUAUUGGACACAGAGCCAGCACACUGAACACUGAGAGCCAAUGAGUCUUGAACGGCUGACUCUUCAGACCGUUCUGAAAGGAUCUUGUUAUCCCUUGGAGUGAGAAGAUUCCUAGCUACCACAGUAGCGGUUAUGCUAUUCUUCAUCACAUAGUCCCCAACCGUAAGAUGACCAUUAGAAGAUAAGAAGGACGGGCGCCAUAUAUUAUCCUGACGCUGCUCGUCUGUAUCACUCCUAAGACUCAAAUCUAAGCAAAUGUUAGAUGGGCAAGUCAUUUUUCAGAAAUGAUGAAGGAAAAGCAGAGGUCAAAUAAAAUUUCAAAGGUGCAAGAUAGGGGAAAUUUCUCCAAGCAGCAACUUUCUGAGCAUACUCUUGAACACAAUUGAUGUCUCUAUAAAAGAAGAGGCAGCAUAGCCACUUGUUCAAAGAUCGAUGAGGCACCGCUCUCCGAAUUUCAAAAGCCAGAUUUUCCUGAAUAAAAUUUGUUGGCAUUUUUCAGACGUAAUCUCAGCUUUUCAGAUAUCACGUGCAACUUUGUCAAAGAUCUCUGACAAAGUUGAAAACGCGUAAAUCUUAGUGUUCUAUUUACACCACAGUUGCUGACAAGAGUAAAAGCACAGCACCACCACUUGCUAUUGAGAAAUCUCUAUAUAUGUCGACAUUUGUUCUCCAUAACAAGGUAGACCCGCAACACUGCAAGAAUACCUAACUCUUCCUCAUCUCCGAGAAUGCAUCUUCAACAUAGCAUCUCGAAAUACUCAGUUUUCUUCCUCUCCAAGAAUACCUCUUCAAACAUGUCACACCAGAGCAAGAUUAUCACAUAUCUUCAGGGACCAGAGCAAAAUUAUCUCAUAUCAUGCAAUCUCCCUGUCCUUUCCUUUGUCCUUGUUCUUGCCUGCAAAGACAAGGAUAAAGAAAGCAAUAUGUCGGAACCUCCACUCAAACUCCCGGUAAGGAACCGACUGCCUGGAACCUUUCCUGAUUGCUUACCUAGUAUUGCUCUCGAGUAGUCAUCUUCAACGGUUGGAGCUGGGUCUCCAGUCACCAAGAAGUGAUGAACCAUCCAAAUGCAAGGGUUGCACUCCACUCCGGCAUCAGAGGGCAAAUACUACCGGAGAAGAUGCCACACAUGCAUGGGGGAAAAGCAGGGAAAAUACUACUUAAGCAAGGGGAGCAAGUAAGGAAAGUGAAAAUGAUACAUUGAAGCAUGUGGAGACAAGCGCAACAAACGCGUGCUGAUUCAUCCCCGACAAAUGAUACAUUGAAGCAUGUGGAGACAAGCGCAACAAACACGUGCUGAUUCAUCCUCGACAAAAUCGAAGAUCACUUGCCACAUGAAGCUCUUAACGGUACAAUUUCAUUCAAGAUCAAGCCUCGAAGUCUUUGAAAAAAUCAUAAGUCUGAUUCAAGAUCAAGUGUCCACCACUUUUGAAUCAAAUUCCGCUCGAGAUAAAAGGAGUAAAUUCAGAUCUUCGAUGCUAGUCUAGCAGAAAGUCCUACAACCCAGUUCAAGAAAAAGCAUGUGGAAAGUUAACAACAAGUAAAGCAACUCUUUCAGCAACUCUUCCUACUAAGAGACUAAAGCAGAACGAUCAACAAUCAACCUAAAUGAUUUGAAAUCAGGGGGAGAUACUCAUCAGGGGGAGCAUCCAAGACAGAUCAAGAUUUUAACGAGUCAAUCGAAGACUUGUGGCCAUCCAAGGGGGAGUGUUGUAAAUAUUAUGUGGAUGGUCCACAUGAAUAGUUUGUUACUAUUUAUGCACAGUAUUUUCACUAUUCAUUUGUGGAAAAUUUGUAAAGUGAAUAGUGCUUUCUUUUGUUUAUAUAAAGGAAGAAGAGGAGAUGAAGUGAUUAGAAGUUCACGGGUGAGAAAAAAAAAAGGAAACAAGAGGAAGAUAGAAGAAAGAGGAAGAGAGAAAAGAGGGGAAGAAAAGAGGAGAGAAUAGAGAGAGUUAUCUUUGUACUCCUAUUAUUCUAAAUUAUAAUGGAAGCACCACUGUUGCCCCGAGGACGUACUCCAGUCACACUGAUUGUAGAGGAACCUCGUAAAUUUUGUGUCUUGCUUAUUUAUUUCACUGCACCCACAGUCAAUUUUACAACAAUUUGUGAUAGAUGUAUAAAUUCUUAAAAAUUUAGUGGGGCUUGUUAUUGGGUUAUUAUUGUGGAGCAAAAAAUAAUCAAGAAAAAUAUGAAGGGGACACGUGGAUUAUUGGGUAAAAAGACAAAAUUACCCUCGAGGCACACCGGAAUUCCUACGCACAAGCAGUGGACAAUCCCAAUUCAAUCAAGGUCAAAAGUGAUCAAAAUAGGUAAUUAUUCAAAAUCUAUUUCACCAUCCUCAUCAAAUCCUUCCCACAAGGUAACUCACAAAUUAUUUCUUUCAAAUUAUAUUAAUUAGCUAAUUAAUUGAUUUAUUACUCAAUUAAUUUAUUAAUUAGCUAAUUAAUUGUAAAUUACACCAAAAAAACCACUAAAUGCGGCCGGUUCCCAUCUCUCCUAAAGGGGCCGACCACACCCUUAUAAAUACUACCCCAUCUUCUCCAAAAACCUAAGUUGAAUCCUCUUGCAAAAUUCUCUAAAUUCUCCAAACACUUUUCCCUCAAAAUUCUAACUUUGGCAUCAAAGCUUCUUCUGCCAAAGCCACCCCCCCCAAUUCAUCGUGGGCCUCACACCCACGUGCGCCACACAUCGAGUAGCCUACUCCAGUGGCUUUCCAACCAGCCCAAAUUAGUCCAAUAUUAGAUCAACCAUCCCGGUGUCAUUUCUGGGCCUACGAUUGAACCGAGGGUAUUUUCACCAUAUUUCACCAAUGAUUUGACAUUCCCUAAUUCGAAUCUCCCGCCUGGAGUCUACCAUACUUCAACUGCCCAAGGAGAUGCAUUUCUUCCAAGCACUUUCAAUCCGAAUGGCGAACAACACUUGUCUCAACAAGUCAUAGAAUUGACGAGCGCCCUUGCACAAUAGACGACUUUGGUGAAUCAGUUCUUGCAGCGCAUCGAGAUGCAACGUGCCCCAGACAAGAUGUCCCGAAAUAGGACAAGGGUAGACGGAGAACCUUUCUAACAAUAUCUCGGUAAGCAGCCACUCUACCAGCCAUAAAUCGAGCGUUCGGGUAGUGUACACUCUUGAUUAGGGGAUAUCGUAUACUCCCCUCUUAGCACACCGAGGAGUGUGCACUUUCGACUAGGCCCACGGAUGAGCAUACACUCGUGGUUGGGGUCACAUUUCGAUAAUCAACAUGAGCAGCCUUCUAGGCGAAGCGUUCAUUCACGGCUAGGCCCGCAAGGAGCAUCAUUUACAUCACAUCGAAGUAGGAAACACAAUGGAUUGAGAGAAGCAAUCAGUCAAUUCGGCUCAAGUUCAACCGGCAGCUUGCGAAGAAUUCCCUCACCUGCUAAAAAUGAACCACAUGCACCGCCGCUGUAGCAUUGACUAGGCGAUCACGUAGAAUAGCAGCCUAGACCAGUAGGUCAAGACCGGGGGCAACCGAGAACUUCGCUACCCCAACAAUGGCAGAUUCAGAAAGUGGUAAGGAUGUUCUUAAACAAGUAAUUGCGUGAUUUCCAACGCGACAACGUCGCCAAUGAAGCAUUACAACGAGACAUGACCAACAUGAGCAGGUCACCAUUCACGGACAAGAUCGAGCAGGCAGAGCCUCCACGCAAGUUUAGCAUGCCACAUUUCACAUCUUUCAAAGGCGAUGGAGAUUUGGAAAGGCUUGAAGCACUACCGAAGCAUGAUGGUCCUUUAUCGGAACAACGAUGCCCUUAUAUGCAAGAUAUUCGCCAUCACUUUACAAGUUGAGGUGCAAGAUUGGUUUCAUACCUUACCACCACGAUCCAUCUAGAGUUUUGAUGAUCUUUCCUUGGUUUUCACUAAAGAAUACUCAUUUUAUUGCUCGAUCAAGAAAAAGUCCGACCAUUUGUUCAAUGUGAAGAAGAAUCUAAAGGAAUCGCUUCACGACCACGUGAAAAGGUUCAAAGCAGAGAAGGCGAAGAUAGUCGGAUGUGACGACUCGAUAGCAAGUGCAGCCUUUUAAAAAGACUCACAGCAUACCACCCAUUGUUCAGAGAAUUGAUCAUGAAAUAAGAUGUAACUUUGGCAGACUCUUUCGCUCUAGCAGAGAAGCAUACACUUUACGACGAGGCUCAACAAGCAGACAAGGCGGCUGAGUAGCCUCGAAAAAAGUCAGCAAUGGCUCAAAAGAAUGAGGAUGGGAAUCAGUCCAGCAAAAGCAGGCAGGAGGCUAAGCGUAGGGACCGACCCACGAUCAAGGAAGGCCUGAUAACUAGGAACUACUAAGUUCUCAAUCCCGAUCCACCAAAUCCUUCGCAACAUCAAGAACGAGCCAUGGUUCAAGCUGUCGAAACUAUUAAAGGGAGAUACUUCCAAGUUGGAUCACACCAAGUAUUGCAUAUUCCAUUAAGGACCCGAUCACACAAUCAACAACUACUACACUUGGAAAACCUACCUGGAGAAGUUUGUGAAAGAAGGCUAGGGCAAUAGAUACUUGGACAAGCCAGCUGCACAGCCUAGAAAGAACGCAGACGACGACGAAAAGUCGCCAACCAAGAUAAAUUAGAUUAAUGGCAUCUUCGCCGAAUCCGAACACUUAGGGGCUACCAAUAACUCCAAAAAGAUGAAGAUCCAGUAGGCUCUACUAGUCUCACAGGUCCAAGUAGUCAACACCCAACUUGGACCCAUCGUUGGCUUCUCCAAGCAGGAUGCAGAAAGCGUUGACUUCCCACAUGAUGACGCAUUAGUAGUAUUUGUCCAACUAGCCCAUGCUAUAAUCGACAGAAUGAUGGUUGACAACAGAAAUGUAAUCAACCUACUUCAGCUCUCAGUAAUUCAAAAGAUGGGCCUGGAAAACACAAUCAUACACCGAGCGAAAGUACUCACUAGAUUCAACGGGCACACCUUGAGUGUCAUCGGUCACAUCACACUUGACGUGAAAACACCACCAGUUGUCUCAAAGCAGACAUUCACGAUCGUAAGUGACCCAUCUCCCUACAAUGGGAUUCUUAGGAGACCUUGGUUGAUCAAGCUGGAUGCUGCCACUUCCGUCAAGUACAAAAAAUUCUGAUUUCGCAUCUAGGGAGAAGGAGUUGGAGAAAUCAAAUCUGACCAGGCCAAAUCUCGACGAUGUAUUGUGCAAGAACUGAAGGAAUCAAAGAAGAAAACCUUUACCCUCGUAGAAGUUACCGAGGUCCAAAAGGAUGAACAAGCUACCCAAUAGCAAUUACAGCAAGCGGAUCAAGAAGAUGGUGCCCAAGCAGACGAGAUGGGAUGGAAACCCAAAAAGGACGCCGAGGACAUCAUUAUUAAUCCUUAGUAGCCGGAAAAGAUAGCUACAAUCGGCUCACGUCUAAGCCCAGUCGGGAAAGAAGAACUCACGGCUUUCCUUAGGAAAAAUCGUGAUAUCUUUGCGUGGUCACCUUCCGACAUGCCUGACAUCGAUCCUGAGAUAGCUUGCCACAAGCUACACGUCAACCCUAAUGCCAAACAGGUGAUCCAAAAAAGAAGGCAUUUUGCACCCGAAUAAGUGAUGAUCAUUGAAGCAGAAAUUGACGUGCUACUAGAGGCCAGAUUCAUAGAAGAGGUAGCGUACUUAGCGUGGCUUGCCAACGUCGUGCUAGUAAAGAAGAAAGAGAAUGGCAAAUGGAAGGUUUGCAGACUAUACCGACCUCAACAAAACAUGCCCAAAUGAUCCUUAUCCACUUUCUCAAAUUGAUCUAUUAGUAGAUUCAACUUCUGGGAACCAACUACUCAGUUUCUUGGAUGCCUACUCCGACUACAACCAAAUAGCCAUGUACAAGCUAGACAAAGAGAAAAUUGCGUUCGUGAUCGAGCGAGGCACAUACUACUACAAAGUCAUGCCCUUUGGCCUCAAGAACGUGGGAGCUACUUACCAAAGGUUAGUAAAUAUGAUGUUCAAGGAGCAAAUUGGAGUAACCAUAGAGGUCUACGUCGACGACAUGAUGGUGAAGGGCAAGCAGCGGUCAGACCACAUCGACAACCUGGCAGAAACUUUCAACAUCCUUAGAAAUUACAAAAUGAAGCUCAAUCCCGCCAAAUGCACAUUUUAAGUAUCUUCAGGCAUAUUUUUAGGGUACUUAGUAACCUAACAAGGAAUCGAGGCACAUCCCAAGAAAAUUCAAGCAAUCUUAGAGAUGAAAUCUCCAACUACUUUGAAAGAGAUUCAAAGCUUGACCGGAUGAGCAACCGCUCUCAACUGCUUUCUUUCGUGGUCCAUCGAUCGAUGCAAGCCCUUUUUUCAAAGCCAUCAAGAGGACAAAACAAGACAAAUGGGAUGAAGAGUGUGAAAGAGCUUUCCAAGACCUCAAAAAGUAUCUCACAUCACCUCCCUUACCAUCCAAGCCGGAAGCAACGGAGGACUUAUACAUCUACUUAGCAAUCUUCGAAGUAGCAAUGAGCUCUGCCCUCAUACAAAAAUAGAUGGAGGCCCAAAUACCGGUAUUCUACACUUCUAAAGCCCUUCUCGAUGCGGAAACUAGAUACCCGAAGGUCGAAAAAUGAAUUUUGGCACUAGUUGUUACGGCUCGGAAGCUCAGACCAUACUUUCAAGCUCAUACAAUCAUCAUCAUGACUCAGUAUCCUCUACGAUCAAUCCUACAUGGUCUAGACACUUCUCAACGAUUGAUAAAAUAGGCGUUGGAACUUGGCCAAUAUGGUUUAGUUUUUCGACCCUGCACGGCGAUAAAGGCCCAAGUAUUGGCAGACUUCAUAGUAGAAUUCACGCCUAGCCUAGGCGAUGCAACAGAGCGGCCCAACGAUACCCCAGAAACAACCGAGCACACCUUAAUCGUACCUGUUCUCCCUAACGAAGACUUCAGGUAUUUGCAUGUCGACAGCGCAUCAAACUACAAAGGCUUGAAAGCAGACGUAGUCCUAAUCACCCCAGACAGUUUGAUGCUUGAGCAGGCUAUCAUUCUAGGCUUCAAGGCAUCCAACAAUAAAGCAGAGUGCGAUGCCCUACUAGCAAGCCUUUGAAUGGCAAAAGACUUGGCGGUGAAAAAGCUCACAAUUCAUUCUGAUUCCCAACUAAUCACCAGCCAGACUACUUGGGAGUAUACGGCAAAACAUUCAAGGAUGGUGCAAUACUUAUAGAAAGUACGCAAGCAACUUGAGGUAUUUCAAACUGACAUUCUCACUCAAGUUCCGCGGACAGACAAUGCCCACGCAGAUGCGCUUGCUGGCCUAGGCUUUACCUUUGACCACCAACUCAAACGCUUUAUUCUAAUGGAGUAUCUAGACAAGCCAAGCAUAGAGGCAGAGUCGGCAGCCGAAAUGUCAUAGGUUAAUAUAACUCCCAACUGGAAAAGUUUUAUUAUAGACUACUUGGUCAAUGGCACACUUCCCACAGAAAGUUUGGAGUCUAGAAAGCUCUAAAUAAAGGCAGCAUGCUACUACGUAUGGAACGACAUUCUUGUCCAAAUAUCCUACAUCGAACCACAUCUCCGCUGCCUAGCGCAUCCUGACUACCUAAGGUUCUAAGCUCAAUCCACGAAGGCAUUUGUGGAAAUCACUCCGGAGGUCGAUCUUUAGCACAAAAGACUCUUAACGCAUGCUACUACUGGCCUACCAUGCACCAAGAUGCUAAUGAGUUAGUACAAAAGUGCGACUGCUGCCAAUGCUACAAGUCGAUUCCAGCACUGCCUGUUAGUAAACUACAACCGCAAACAAUCCUUGGCCGUUCAUGUAGUAGGCAAUCGACCUGGUAGGGCCAAUGUCGCCUACUACUGGGGGUAGAGACAUGAUGAUCGUGUCAACCGAUUACUUCACCAAAUGGGUAAAAGUAGAACCCAUAACAACCACGACUCAGACGAACAUAGAGCACUUCAUACGGAGGAACAUCAUAUGCCGAUUUGGCAUCCCUCAGUCUAUCGUCAUCAACAAUGGCUCGCAAUUCGCGCGUAAAGAUUUGGCAAAGUUCUUCCAAAAGUAUGGCAUCAAGCAGCACAUGCCCAUACCAAGAUAUCCUCAAGGCAAUGAGCAGGCCGAAGCAUCCAACAAGACGAUCCUCGACUGCCUCAAGAAAUCCCUCUCCGACAAGAAGGGAAAAUGGCUAAACAAGCUCCCCGAAUGUCUAUGGGCAUAUCACACCAGCAAAAGAUGAGCAAUCGUUGAUACCCAUUUCUCUUUGGCAUUUGGUUUAGAAGCAAUCAUUCCUCCUAACAUUAUCGUGCUAAGUAUCAACACUUUACUGCCAAGCAUUAAGCAGAAUAGUAAGGAGAUAGCCACAAGCUUAAAUCUAGCAAAGGAUAAGCGCGUGCAGACCAUUACCUGCAUCGUAGCCUACCAGUAGCAACUCAUCUCCAGCUACAAUAAAAGGGCCAAGAUCUGACAGUUCCAACCCGGAGAUUUAGUCCUAAGAAAAGCAUUCAUCACUGUCUACAGAGAAGGCUCCAAGAAGAUGGAUCCCAUCUGGGAAGGUUCGUACAAAAUCAGCAGAGUAGGCAGCAAGGGUAAUUACGCAUUCGCCACCAUAAACGACAAAGCAAUCGAAAAGUAGUGGAACACGUACAAUCUGAAAAAGUACCAUGUGUGACCUCUCGCUACAUCAAAGCCCGAAAAACAUGAGUAGUUCAACGGGUACCAUCUAGCGAACCGAGGAUUAUCUAAUUAUUAUGCAGUCUCUACUUUACAGCUAAGUUUUCGUUCGUUUUACUCAUUUUUCAAUGAGGAAUUCAGAAGUAAUUUACAACUUGGCUCGAUUACAUGCCUACAACAACUUAUCACUCAUACACUUUAAAGGAAUACCGCACCCUUCUUAGGGACUCAUCGCAUGUAUUGCACCUCUCGAGAAACCGACCAUGCUCUCUAAUGCGAUAGGGUAAAUCAAUUCCCUGAUACCCAUAUGGUUCUACCCUCCAAAGCGGGAGGAUAAACUCUACACUCCGAAUAUCCAGAUGUGGAUGGGCCGAGCUGCCCUAGUCAAACUAGAUGCACAAUGGCUUGCGUCGGGAUUCCUAGAAGUAGCCACAAUGGCCUUUUUCAAGGCUUAGCUAACUGAAGGAUUUUGGGUCUCUUGGUCUAAUCCAUGGGGAAUCGGGCCCUGGAGACCGAGGGGGCACGUAACGCAGUACGCCCUAUGGACGGCUACCCUGGAACCCUAAAGCUGCUAUGGAGUACACUAAGGUAACCUACGGUUUCUGGAAAACUGCCUACGACUUUCCCUUCGAGCAGUAAAGCUGCGCUAGACUUAUACAACUGUACGUUCUUGUGAAAUGUUAAACAAGCUAGUGUGCAUAUAUGAAGCUUUAUCCAUUGCCAACAUAUUACGUAGCCGAUAAGCUUCACCUCUGCCAAGUGUGGAACGACUUACACCAAGUCCUAUAAUGUUGUGAUACUUGCUACGCAACCUACGAAAUUGGAGAAAGCCAAGGUUAAUAGCCUAGUGGUUACGCGGACUUGUCUGCUUCUGUAAGUAAGGCGUCCGGCUACCAACCCUAUACCUAACAACUUUGCAAAGUUCUAUACCAACACCUACGACUGCAUAAGCUACGCAGGCAUGUCUGCUUAUACAAAAGUAGCACGCCUGCCACUGGUCUUUAAAGUCUAAAGGUUAGGGCAUGAACAAAAGAAACGAAGAUAGAGAAAAACGAAGGAAACAAAUUUAUUAAAUUUUCUAGCAAAAUUGAUAAACAACUAGCAAAGACCGAAUGAGUUCAAUCAAGGCAAAAGCAACAAGGAAAACAAAGAAAAUCCUAAAGGCUACCUAGAAGACUACUCUUCAACAGCUUGGACAUCCCACAACUACUCGGUCGCGACACCUUCAGCAUCUGCAACGCUCUCAACAGCAGCAUUAUCCAGCACUUCACCCCUAACCACCCCAGCCUGGGCACCAACCUCUCCGACUACUUCACCAAUAGAAGACUCAAAAAUAAAGGCGAGCAAGUCUUCUGGAGAAAUAGAGAAGGUCUUGAAGUCUUUACCAGCAAACUCAAAGUCAGACGGCCACCCAAAAAGAUUGUCUACAUAACCCAGCUUGUAGAAAUCAGCUUGACUCUGAGUAAGCGGAGCCUUGAACCUAGCUUUCUCACCCUUCAACUGCUCAUUCUCCUCGAGUAGACAAGCACGAACCCGCUGCAGCUCUUCUACUUCUUUCUUCAAACUAUCGUUGAUCUUCAAAGCACUUUAGAGUUCUAAUACUUGAGGCUCAAGCCUAUCGACAACCUUCUUGAAGUGGAUCACUUGGUUGUAAGCAUCAAUUAGUUCUUCAUCCUUUGCGUAAGCAACAGAAUGGAGCUCAGAGACGGCACGCUUAAAGUCUUGAUUCUGAGGUAUGUAACACCCGAUCUCCUUCUUUGCACUUUCAUACUUUACUUGGAUCGCGUCAAGCCUAGUAUUCAAAUCCACGAUCUCUUGGCGAGUGGUCUCAAGCUACAGAUAAGUGGGGGCAGAUGAGUAAGCUUCGGCUGCCAUAAUUUUUGCCACCUCCUUGGCAGCCUUGGUAUUUUUUUAUCAAGGAACAUAGACUCGACUACCAGAAUCGACGUUUUCUACAUCAUGGCCAACAGAGCAGUCCUCAUAUACUCGGUCGUAUGCUUCGCGAAUGAACUUGGGCCAACAACCCCUUUGAUGCCAUUAAAAAAAUUGGCACACAUAUCCAUGUCCUCAAGCAUAUUUGGUCUCAAAAGCGCACAAAUCUCAGCAGUUUCCCCAGAAACAGACUUGGUGGAUUUCUCACAACUACCUACAUGAGCAAUCUUUUUCUUCUUGGUAGACGAGUUGAUCUCAGCAGUAGAGGGAACAGGUUUUGGCGCCACUUUAGCAGGCAAAGGCACCUUGUCACUCUUUAUAGUAGCAAACCUCUCCAAAGGUGAACCAGACUUAGCCCCAGAUGGACAUUUUGGCACAAAUUUAAGCAUUGAAGGCACGGAAGAACUUUUACGUUGAGCAAUCCUAUCAGCAAUCAAACUAGCCACCUUUAGAACAUCAGGCGUCACCAGUACGGAUCUAGCAGGUUCAUCAUUCUCACCCUUAGGAGAAGUCAAGUCAAUCACAAGCUUAGGGACAGCCAGCGAACCCUCGCGAGAAGUGGAAGAAAUCUUUGGCUUUUUCUCAGCUGGCAUCUCUUCAGUAGGUAAGGAAGGUAUCUUUUUCCCACAUUCACUUACAGCGAGCUCCACGACAGCAAUUGGACGAGCUAAUGCCUCUGCCUUGAUUCGCUUUAUCUCUUCUCUUAGGGGUAGCCCACCUUACUCCCCACAAAGAUAACUAAGCAGCCACCACUCACAGUACUCGGAAAGGAUACCCAGAGCGACAUGCACUUUCUUCAUGUCUUGAGAAGUCUUAGGAGUUGAGCCAAACUCUGAAUCUGCAAAAGCAAUGAGAGACAAUUAGAAAAUUAAAGAGCAACUUAGCACAAAUACAAAGAAACUUAAAGAUUAAGCAGCCUACUUACCAGAUAUGAAGAUCGUUGGAACACACAGUUUGGGGGAAGAAUCAAACUUCCAUUCUCCACUUAUCUCCAAAGUCUCCUUGGCCCAGUCAUGAUCUCCCUUGCUCAAAUGAUCGAAGAGCCUAUGGCGAGACCGUAGCUACCCAAUUCCCUCAAUGUGGCCUAUGUCAAAGAAGUAGCAAAAUUCAUUGACAGUUAGAUCUAAGUCAAAGAAUUGGCUUAGAUUGAGGAAUCCCACCAUCACACGGACCGCAUUCAGAGAACAUUGAGCGUUGGCACACUUCAUAGAGCAAAGUACUUCCUGGAAAAAGCAAGGCAUGGGAAAAGUAAAUCCCAACAUAAAAUAGUAAGAGUGGAACUUGAUGGCUCUUCAAGCCCUACCACAUGGCUCACGUCUACUACCAUCCUUAACAUGUUUCACACGCACUCCUGACGGAAUAGCAUGCCUAUAUGCCUCAAGAAAGUCUCUAAACAAGUCAUCGGAACCAAUUUUGAAGUGAGUAGCUUUGAAGUAGCCAACCUUGCUCAAAGACCCGCCUUGACGAUACAAUGGCGGCACCCCAUCAUCAUUCCUGUGGCUCGAGGAAGACAUGCUUGAAGAAAUUGUGCAAAGACGCAAAGAAAAUUCGUUAGACAGCUGCUUGUGAAAAAAAUAAAAGGGCUCGACACAAAAGGCCUCACGACCCAAGCAACUCUCAGCCUCUCUCUCUCCCUCUCUAGCACGAGCCCAGGCCCAUAGGCAAAAAAAAAAAAGGCAAAAGCAACCAGCAGGCCGCAUCUUGGUCCGAUUCCAUGGCCCAAAAAUCCCUUGGCCUACUCCUUUUCUUCCUCAGGCACGGGCCUGAGCCCAACUUGAAACAAAAAAAAAGGAGGAAGCCCUCGCCUCGUCCCCUAGCCCGACACCAGCUUGGCUCAAGCCAAGCCCAGACCACGGCACCCGAACAAAUCAACUAUCGGCCCGAGCCGAGAUAGGAGUUGGGCCAAAAUCAGAAGGCUACCCCACGACAACCCUUAUGCCGUGACCUUUCUAAGACCACUUCCUCGACCCUUGUCGAGCCAAUUUCAAGCCUUGAUGCUCCCAAAAAAAAUUAAGAAGACUAGGAAUUUUUUUUUUCUUAUCUUGAAGCGACAUGAAGACAAAGUAAGCAACGAAAGACGAUCCUUUGCACGGGUAAGAGUAGAAGAUUGUUAGAGGAGGGGGAUCAAAUAUCCUCUAAGCUCUCUCUCUCCCUUGUAGGGUAGAAUAAAUCGCUCUCCAAAGUUGAUUUAAUAAUCCACUUAAGGUGGACUUAGAUAGGCUUUGGAAGAAAUUUAUUUCCCUUUCCUAGAAGGAUCUAAUUUCCAAUUAAGGAGGGAAUCUACAUCAAAAUAUGAAACAAUCCUAUGUUUCCUAAAGCAAGAAGAUCUCUACACCUGCUGCCCUUUUCUACGAGCAACCCAAUAGGUGUGGGGGCAUUUGUGGAGCAAAAAAUAAUCAAGAAAAACAUGGAGGCGACACAUGGAUUCUUGGGUAAAAAGACAAAAUUACCCUAGAGGCACACCGAAAUUCCUACGCGCAAGCCGGGGCAAUCACAAUUCAAUCAAGGGCAAAAGUGAUCAAAAUAGGUAAUUAUUCAAAACCUAUUUCUUCCAUCCUCAUCAAAUCCUCCCCACAAGGCAACUCCCAAAUUAUUUCUUUCAAAUUAUAUUAAUUGGCUAAUUUAUUUAUUUAUUACUCAAUUAAUUUAUUAAUUAGCUAAUUAAUUGUAAAUUACACCUAAAAACCCACUAAAUGUGGCCGGUUCCCAUCUCUCCCAAAGGGGUCGGCCACACCCCUAUAAAUACCACCCCAUCUUCUCCAAAAACCUAAGUUGAAUCCUCUUGCAAAAUUCUCUAAAUUCUCCAAACAUUUUUCCCUCAAAAUUCUAACUUGGGCAUCGGAGGUUCUUUGGCCAAAGCCCCCCCUCCAAUUCUUUGUGGGCGCAUGAGGCUCUUGGCCUUGACCUAAGGUGUUAAUUGUUUUUGCAGGUGCAUUUUCGUCCAAUAACAAGUAGGAAGAAAUUUGCAUCCACAAUUAUAAUCAUAUUGUUCAUGAUUAGAAAAUUUUGAGCAUUAAGUUAACUUGGAUGAAUCUAUUAAAGCAUUUGUGUCUUUCAUGUAUAUGUGGUUUGGUUGAUGAAAUUGAUGAAAUAAUAUGUUAAGUUGCAUGAAUGAAUAUUUGGCGUAUGUGUACAUUUUCCUAUGACUUACAAUCAUUUGGAUGCCUUGAUUGAUUAUUAAUACAUACAAGCUAAGCUGGUUGUUGAAUGCUUCAAUGCUUAGUUCUACCUUUCAUUGAGAUCGCUAUUUGAUGUGUUAAGGAAAGGUCAAAGAAUGACAAUUUGUGGUAAUAUUGAUUUCAUUGACUAAGUAAGGUUGUUCCCAAGUGCAUAUUAUAAUUUAUACAUUGAUUUGCAAAUUAAGUAACGAUGUUGCAGAUCAGUAGAGCUUGAGUUUCAUGUAAGUAAUGCCUUACAUUUGCAGAUGACCUAUAAAGUAUGUACGGUUUAGAUUCCUUGUAUGCAGUUUAAUCUUUGGUUGGAUUCAUUAAGUCACAUUUUCGUGUGCUAGUCAAUUGUCAGAUGAAAUGUAUACCGGAUAUCAAUUUGUUACUCAAAUUACAUUUUAAAUCAUGACAUAGAGGCUGGUCAUCUUGUCCACAAGAAUUGAUCAUGUUUCGUGGUUGGAUUUUAACUGGCGUGGCAUGGUCUAUGCAUUGCAUCAGUUGUGAGGGUUUUCAUCUUUCCACAGGUGCUGGAAAUCACCAUAAAGUAACUGGUAUGGUACAUAGAUCAGUGUCAAAAAACAUAUUAGUUCACCUUGCUCACAGGUGUUGAAUUAAUUUUGAUUUAUAAAGUUUGAGAUAUUUUACAUGGACAUAGGCCUUUGUGGUAUUUUAAGUUGUGUUCAUUGACUACAAACAUUGGUUUGUAUGCUUGUUGUUGGUCUAAUGAAAGUGAUGCAUGAUUGUCUUGGAAUUGUAUUCACACCUGCAGGUUAUGAUAGUUUCGUUAGAUGAAAAUUUUCUGUAUUGGCAGGCUAAAGGGCUUUGAAGAAGCAUAAAAUGUAACUUAUGUAUUACAAUAAGGUGGACCUAAGAUAAUAUAAAACAAGACAUUUUGGUUUAAAUUUUCAUCUCUUUAUCAUAAUUUUACGGUGUUUCAUGUGGAUAAGGAUUUUAGCAUGUGUGUAUUUGAAAAAAUAUGGUUUGUUCCUGUAUUUUGUAAUUAUUUACAUUUUAUUUUGGAUUUGUUCAAGUUUUAGUUUGCACCAUUGGAAGAUGUUUAUCUAAUUCCAAGUAUCUAAUUGGUUUUGUACCAAUAUACAACACUCAAACACUCUCAACGAAUACCCGCUUUCACCCUCUCUCAUGACAAUUUGUAGAGAACCAGGCCCCAGAGAAGGUGAGAAUCCAACCUUCCCAAAUUGCACAAUUAAAAGGUAAUACUGAAUUUAAUAGAGUUGGGUGUUUUGCAUACAUUGAACAAAUUUAUAAACACUGAAUUUAAAAAUCAAAUAUACAAAUAAAAUAGUAGGUCAAAUUCAUUAUUAGUUCUCUUAACUUCUGUUGAAUAGAUUUAUACUAUUGUAGGUUUAAUGAAUAUUAUUUUUAGUUGAUAAUAAAUUGAUGAUUAAUUCCGUUAUGCAUUAUUUUAUCGCCAAAUACGAUGAAUAUUCAUUAGCAAAAAAUAUAGGGUUAACUAUAUAAUUAAUAGAAUUUUGAUGGUGGAUUGAAUUUCUUGAGUUAUAAAUAAGAAAAAUUAAUAAAAAAGAUUUGAAAACUUCAAGUUUUAACGAUAAAGACAAAAUAAAGGAUAAAGUGAAUAGUACCAGGAUUGACUUUUUAGUGUAAAAAUAUGGUUUUUCGUUAAAGUGAACAGUACCGGGAGCUUUUUGUUAAAAUUUUCCUGAUAUAUACUCUAUUUGAGUUUUCUACUAAUGAAACGAUAGGAUCCAAUUGUCCCACAUCAGCCGUUUCUUAUGAUGGGUUUUUAUAUAGGACAAGGAUUGUCUGCCCUCCCACUUCUGGUGCCCUCCCGUGCCCUCCUGUUUGUGUGGUCACGGUUAAGCAACGUCAACAUUUUAUAUUAUUAUUCAUUUUUGUCUUAUUAUCUCUAUAAAAAAUAAUAUAAAAUGUUGACGUGGUUUAACCGUGAUCACACAAAACAGGAGGGCACCGAAAGUGGGAGGGCAGACAAUCAUUGUCCCUUUAUAUAAUGAAGUGCAGGGAUUAAUGAUAGUAUUUUAUAUUUGAUAACAAAAUUUAAUAUGGAGUUUGAAUGGAUCGAAGCCUUCUUUCUGAUGGUUUAUAUUUUGAUUUAUCUCCUGUAAUUUGAAUGCACAUUGUUUUAUUAUUCUUUUCAUAUUAAAGUUUUUAAAUUUUUAUGGGUUUAAUUAUUAGGUUGCUGAAGGAGGAUUUGAAUUCGAUUUUUUUACAAUUCAGACCAUUCAUUAGUCAACACAAAACAAGGUGUUGAUUGUUUUAGAAAACUUGUGUCUCCUCGCUCUGCAAGAGAACUGAGAAGAUUCUGAAAGGUGAUUGCUUUCCAAUAGUAUUUUUUCUGUUUACUUAUUUUUUGUUUGGAUCCCGAUAUCAUAUAGUGCAACGCUUAAAUAUCUUAUAUUUUCUUGAUUGUAACUCUUCCUAUAAUACAGUUGCUUUCAUUCUUUUCAGAUGUCUGUAAAUUCCAUCUGGGUUCUUCAAAUUCAAGCCCCCCAAAUUUGAACAAUUUGUGUUACCCGGUUAGUCAUUUUCAUGCUCAUUGUUUAAUUGCGGACAUUACUCUAACGUGUUCAAUCGGUUUCAUAAUUUCUGAUAAGUGCAUAUGCCCAUUGAAUCAACUUAUAUAUAUAUAUAUAUAUGACUGCUUGAAUUAGGACUUAUCGAAUCAAGGCAGCUACAAGGAAAUUUGAGCCUUGGCCUGUAGAGAUAUGAUUUUGCAAGGAAGCCAGUACCUUCUAGACUCAUUGGAUGUGAAGAUUUGUAUGAUCGAAUAUGCGAUUAAUAUACUUAGAUUUUAUUAUAAUAUUCAUGAUUUUAUAGAGUUUUUCGUUUGAAUUUGUGGGGUUUAAGUUUAAAUUGUGGGUGUUCGCCAAAAAAAAAAAGUUUAAAUUGUGGGUUUUGGAAAAUUCUUCAUCAAAUUUCUGGGUUCUUUUGAUGUGAAUUUAUGUGAGAUUAAUCAACUGCAAUGUCGGAUAUGAUAAUAGGUGGGCAUGUUCAUAAGUUUUCCAAUGUUCUCUUAUCAACUCUUAGUGUUGAAAUAGUAAGCUAAUAAUGAUGGAUAAAUCAAAGUUGGGCAUGAGUUCAUACGUUUUUCAAUGUUUUUAUAAAAACAAUGCAAUUUUCACAUAGUUUUGGGUAGAAUAAUGGUGUUUGAAGUAGAAUAGUGGGAGAUUCAUCUGUGAUCAUUUGAAAAUAAAUUAUGAAUACUACACUACCAUUCUGCUUAAGGCGCCCCAAUACAUGCAUAGUUUGAAUGAACAAGUAAAGAUUACGUGAGAGACUAACAGCAUACAAAAUUUAAAUGAUCCUAUUUGUUUCUAUCUUUUCCUGGAUUUGUCUACUAUUGGCUAUUAUGAUUUUGUCUGGCUAAUGGACUCCCUGAAAAUGUGUUUUGGCUUUUUCAAUUCAAAAAACUUAAAACUGAUUUUGUUUGGCGACGAUUUGUUAUGAGGUAUUGCUAUAACAUGGAGAAAUUGACACUGAUUCUAUUAUUAUGCGUACAUCAGUUUGUAAUAUCUAAUCUUAAAAUAUUUUUUAUUCUUUUUUGGAUGUCAAAACGAAGAAGACAUUCAAAUUACUUUUGCUCCAAUCCAUUUCAUCAAUUUAUCAAGCUUUCAUGUUGAAGCUCCUGGGAAGCAUAUGCAUUAUAUUGCCAACCUUGAAAAGCCUUGGAAAAUAAUGUCAGUUGCUUCUCCAACUCUUUUCCCCUUGAUAUAAGUUUUUUAAUCUUGAUUUCCUUUUUCUUAUAUGUAGUUUUGAUUUUAUGGGGAGUUAGUAGUUUUGGUUUUGACGUUGUUUUGUUUUGUUUGUGAUAGAUCUCAAUAUAUUGCAAAUAUUUUGCAAGUUAAUGUUAAUGGUGAAAGGUAUAGAAAAGCGAAGCAAGAGGCGAAGAAAGCUGUC